UACGUAGGGUGCAAGCGUUAAUCGGAAUUACUGGGCGUAAAGCGUGCGCAGGCGGUUGUGCAAGCCAGAUGUGAAAUCCCCGGGCUUAACCUGGGAAUUGCAUUUGUGACUGCACGGCUAGAGUGUGUCAGAGGGGGGUAGAAUUCCACGUGUAGCAGUGAAAUGCGUAGAUAUGUGGAGGAAUACCGAUGGCGAAGGCAGCCCCCUGGGAUAACACUGACGCUCAUGCACGAAAGCGUGGGGAGCAAACAGG
rnacentral:rRNA from 1 species